CUGGAGGAGUUUUACGAACUCUCCAGGCAGCACUCCAUCCCAGUUAAGUCAGAAUCCCUGAGGGUGCGAAUCAGGUAUCAGUUGUUUUUCAAACUCCCUAGGUGAUUGCCGAGUUCAACCAAGUUUGAGAGCCACUGCUUGAGGGUGUCACUGGCUCCAUGUAACUGCCACGUGGAGGGGAUCCCAAACCUCUGGCGUUUGUUCUUGUUGGCAGUCUUUUCAAAGUAGGUGCCCAAGUGUCCAGGUCAACGCUGGAGCAUGAGGAAAGCAAAUUGGGUUGAACCUCUUCACAGGACCUGCUUCCUGAGAUCUUCUCGCCAGCAGCCUGCAGUGUGGGCUUUCUGAGAACAGAGGGCAUGAGGAAACGCCACAGCCCCAGAGACGUUCUCUGCCUGCAGGUGCUGACAAUACACAGACACACACCUGUGUCUAAGUGGGCCCAUUUUCACCUCUGGGAACAGGCCCUGCUGAGGAGGGGAGGUCCUCCAGCACAGCAAGGCAAGCCUGCUCACUCGGUCCUGCUUCCCACAGUCCAGCAAGCCCUGCUGGUUGCUUGUCAUUCCCUUCCUCUCUCGUGUCACCAUCUAGCAGCAUUCUGGGAGACGAUGACCCUUCUUUUCUCACGUACUCUAAUCCCAUGUUACCCAAGUGUGGUCCGUGGACCAGCAGCACCUGCAUUACCUGGGAACUUGGAAAAGCAGAGUCUCAGGCCACACCCAACCUACUGAAUCAGAAUCUGCUUUGUACCCAGAUCUCUGAAUGAUCUUUUUUUUCCUGUUUUUUAAAUUGUGGUAAAGUAAAUGUAACAUAAAAUUUACUAGCCUAGCCAUUUUUAAGUGUAAAAUUUAGUGUAUUUAAUACUUUCACAAUGUUGUGCAACCAUCACCACCAUCCAUGUUCAUAGCUCUUUUCAUCCUGCAAAACUGAAACAAUAUACUCAUUAAAGAAUGAUUCCUCAUUUCUCCCUCCCCCGGCCCCUGGCAAUCACCAUUCUACUUUCUGUCUCCGUGAUUUCGACUACUCUUAAGUGUCUCACUCAAAUAAGUGGAAUCAUACAGUAUCUGCCUUCUUGUGACCGGCUUAUUUUUUAGCAUAAUGUCCUCAAUGUUCAUCCAUGCUGUGGCAUAUGUCAGAAUUUCCUUCCUUUUUAAGGCCAAAUAAUGUUCCGUUGUAUGUGUA
rnacentral:lncRNA from 1 species